GAUGAACGCUGGCGGCAUGCCUUACACAUGCAAGUCGAACGGCAGCACGGGUGCUUGCACCUGGUGGCGAGUGGCGAACGGGUGAGUAAUAUAUCGGAACGUACCUUAUUGUGGGGGGUAACGCAGCGAAAGCUGUGCUAAUACCGCAUACUCCCUACGGGGGAAAGCGGGGGACCGUAAGGCCUCGCGCAAUUAGAGCGGCCGAUACCUGAUUAGCUAGUUGGUGAGGUAAAGGAUCACCAAGGCAACGAUCAGUAGCUGGUCUGAGAGGACGAUCAGCCACACUGGGACUGAGACACGGCCCAGACUCCUACGGGAGGCAGCAGUGGGGAAUUUUGGACGAUGGGGGCAACCCUGAUCCAGCAAUGCCGCGUGAGUGAAGAAGGCCUUCGGGUUGUAAAGCUCUUUUGUCAGGGAAGAAACAGCAGCUCUAACACAGUAUGCGAAUGACGGUACCUGAAGAAUAAGCACCGGCUAACUACGUGCCAGCCGCCGCGGUAA
rnacentral:rRNA from 1 species